CUUCCCCAAACAGAGAGCUCAUUUCUCUGAAACGGAAAAAAACCAAAACCAGUUUUCUCCGCCCCCCAUUUCUGUUUUCCUGGAUUUCGGCCCCCACAAACUUUGUUUUUGGUCAAAGUUUCCCUUCCAAAGGCGAUUUAAGUGGCUAUAAGGCUUAUUGAGGUUUUGCAUUGUAUACCAGCGGUUUUAGAGGUUGGGUAUUCGGUUUUUGUUGGACUAAAGAGAUUGCUAGCAAGAUAUUGAAGGCAUUGGUAAGUUUUUUUUAAUUUUUCUGAAUUUUUUUAAAUUUUUUUUCAA